AUACGAAGGUGGCGAGCGUUAAUCGGAAUUACUGGGCGUAAAGCGCGCGUAGGCGGCUUAUUAAGUCAGAUGUGAAAUCCCCGGGCUCAACCUGGGAACUGCAUCUGAUACUGGUAAGCUAGAGUUUUGGAGAGGGAAGUAGAAUUUCAGGUGUAGCGGUGAAAUGCAUAGAGAUCUGAAGGAAUACCAGUGGCGAAGGCGACUUCCUGGCCAAAAACUGACGCUGAGGUGCGAAAGCGAGGGUAGCAAACGGGAUUAGAAACCCGAGUAGUCC
rnacentral:rRNA from 1 species